rnacentral:tRNA from 1 species
GGAGAGAUAGCUCAGCAGUUAAGAGCACUUGACUGAUCUUCUAAAGGACCUGGGUUCGAUUCCCAGCACCC